rnacentral:rRNA from 1 species
GGCCCUACGGGGUGCAGCAGGCGCGAAAACUUUACAAUGCUGGGAACAGCGAUAAGGGAACCUCGAGUGCCAGGUUACAAAUCUGGCUGUCGUGAUGCCUAAAAAGCAUUAUAUAGCAAGGGCCGGGCAAGACCGGUGCCAGCCGCCGCGGUAACACCGGCGGCUCGAGUGGUAACCGUUAUUAUUGGGUCUAAAGGGUCUGUAGCCGGCCGGAUAAGCCUCUUGGGAAAUCUGGCAGCUCAACUGUCAGGCUUUCAGGGGAUACUGUCUGGCUCGAGGCCGGGAGAGGUGAGAGGUACUUCAGGGGUAGGGGUGAAAUCUUGUAAUCCUUGAAGGACCACCAGUGGCGAAGGCGUCUCACCAGAACGGACCUGACGGCAAGGGACGAAAGCUAGGGGCACGAACCGGAUUAGAUACCCGGGUAGUCCUAGCCGUAAACGAUACUCGCUAGGUGUCGGCCACGGUGCGACCGUUGUCGGUGCCGUAGGGAAGCCGUGAAGCGAGCCACCUGGGAAGUACGGCCGCAAGGCUGAAACUUAAAGGAAUUGGCGGGGGAGCACCACAACGGGUGGAGCUUGCGGUUUAAUUGGAUUCAACGCCGGAAAUCUUA